AUUACCUAGUGUCCCGAGAGAGGCUCCAGCGAUUUAGAAAAAAGAGGCCAGCACAGGUGUGAGUAGCCCCGCUCUAACAUGAGGCCUUUGCUGCUUACUUAACCAAGGAAACCCUGAACCUCUUGUCUAUGCAAGAUGGGAGAACAGCCAACAUCUCAGCAGGGGAUCUGCCUGCACUUCUCGCUGCUAAUCUGGACCUACCUAACCCUAAAGCACAUUGGAGAGCAAUGAGGAAACCACAUGGGAAGGGACAGGCAAACACUGGCAAGUCACUGUCCCAGACCAUCCUGUGUAGAACCGAUGGGUAUUUGAAAAGUAUCCUCAAGACAUGUGAAGGGUCUGAGAAUUGUCAUCAUUGGGGCUGGAAAUACUCUGGUGAGGAUAUUCCCAACAUAGAUGUGGUUUUUUUUCUUUUGGAGUCACCAAAAAAGGAAGUCUAUUCUGCAAUCACAAGUAGAUUUACCCUUCAUUCACUCACUGAACGUUUCUUAGGUGUCUUCUGUAUACUGGGCAUCAUACUGAGGAUACAGAAUCAUGGCAAAGACUUAUAA
rnacentral:lncRNA from 12 species